rnacentral:rRNA from 1 species
GACGAACGCUGGCGGCGUGCUUAACACAUGCCAGUCGAACGGAAAGGCCCUGCUUCUGUGCGGUGCUCGAGUGGCGAACGGGUGAGUAACACGUGAGUAACCUGCCCUUGACUUUGGGAUAACUUCAGGAAACUGGGGCUAAUACCGGAUAGGAGCUCCUGCUGCAUGGUGGGGGUUGGAAAGUUUCGGCGGUUGGGGAUGGACUCGCGGCUUAUCAGCUUGUUGGUGGGGUAGUGGCUUACCAAGGCUUUGACGGGUAGCCGGCCUGAGAGGGUGACCGGCCACAUUGGGACUGAGAUACGGCCCAGACUCCUACGGGAGGCAGCAGUGGGGAAUAUUGCACAAUGGGCGGAAGCCUGAUGCAGCAACGCCGCGUGCGGGAUGACGGCCUUCGGGUUGUAAACCGCUUUCGCCUGUGACGAAGCGUGAGUGACGGUAAUGGGUAAAGAAGCACCGGCUAACUACGUG